rnacentral:rRNA from 1 species
AUUGAACGCUGGCGGCAUGCCUUACACAUGCAAGUCGAACGGUAACAGGUCUUCGGAUGCUGACGAGUGGCGAACGGGUGAGUAAUACAUCGGAACGUGCCCGAUCGUGGGGGAUAACGGAGCGAAAGCUUUGCUAAUACCGCAUACGAUCUACGGAUGAAAGCAGGGGACCGCAAGGCCUUGCGCGGACGGAGCGGCCGAUGGCAGAUUAGGUAGUUGGUGGGAUAAAAGCUUACCAAGCCGACGAUCUGUAGCUGGUCUGAGAGGACGACCAGCCACACUGGGACUGAGACACGGCCCAGACUCCUACGGGAGGCAGCAGUGGGGAAUUUUGGACAAUGGGCGCAAGCCUGAUCCAGCCAUGCCGCGUGCAUGAUGAAGGCCUUCGGGUUGUAAACUGCU